GAUGAACGCUGGCGGCGUGCCUAAUACAUGCAAGUCGAGCGAACAGACGAGGAGCUUGCUCCUCUGACGUUAGCGGCGGACGGGUGAGUAACACGUGGAUAACCUACCUAUAAGACUGGGAUAACUUCGGGAAACCGGAGCUAAUACCGGAUAAUAUAUUGAACCGCAUGGUUCAAUAGUGAAAGACGGUUUUGCUGUCACUUAUAGAUGGAUCCGCGCCGCAUUAGCUAGUUGGUAAGGUAACGGCUUACCAAGGCAACGAUGCGUAGCCGACCUGAGAGGGUGAUCGGCCACACUGGAACUGAGACACGGUCCAGACUCCUACGGGAGGCAGCAGUAGGGAAUCUUCCGCAAUGGGCGAAAGCUUGACGGAGCAACGCCGCGUGAGUGAUGAAGGUCUUUGGAUCGUAAAACUCUGUUAUUAGGGAAGAACAAAUGUGUAAGUAACUAUGCACGUCUUGACGGUACCUAAUCAGAAAGCCACGGCUAACUACGU
rnacentral:rRNA from 1 species